UCUCCUGUAGCUCAGUGGUAGAGCGUCCGCCCGGUGUGCGAAAGGUCAUAGGUUCGAUUGCUGCUGGGAGAA